rfam:Penicillium freii strain DAOM 242723 scaffold_21, whole genome shotgun sequence.
UUCCAUCGCUAAGUCAAGGCCUCUUCCUGCGACUUCGGUCGUGCACGACUUCGGUUGUGCUUGUUUCAAUGGAAUUCCGUCUGUUACAGCUUUGGUAUAUUAACACUGGCCCGCACCGAAUUUCGUUAUGAACCUAGGUUGACUUGCUUUCGUCUUGAAAGCCUGUCGCAAAGGGCCAGCUGUGUUUUGUUUUUGAGUAGAAGUCUGCUUCUGCCUUUUUUGGUGGCAUUGUAGCAGUCUUCUUAGUAACAUCCCACACAUUC